rnacentral:rRNA from 1 species
UACGUAGGGGGCAAGCGUUGUCCGGAUUUACCUGGGCGUAAAGUCGCGUGUAGGCGGUUGGGUUAGUCUGGCUGAUCGGAAGCUCCGGGCUUAACCUGGAGAGGUCGGUGGAUACUGCCUGACUUGAGGACGGUAGAGGGGGUGGAAUUCCCGGUGUAGUGGUGAAAUGCGUAGAGAUCGGGAGGAACACCAGCGGCGAAGGCGGCCCCCUGGGCCG